UGCCAGACUCCUACGGGAGGCAGCAGUGGGGGAUAUUGCACAAUGGGGGGAACCCUGAUGCAGCGACGCCGCGUGGGUGAAGAAGCGCCUCGGCGCGUAAAGCCCUGUCAGCAGGGAAGAAAAUGACGGUACCUGAAGAAGAAGCCCCGGCUAACUACGUGCCAGCAGCCGCGGUAAUACGGAGGGUGCGAGCGUUAAUCGGAGUUACUGGGCGUAAAGCGCUCGUAGGCGGUAUGUCAAGUCAAGGGUGAAAUCCCCGCGCUCAACGUGGGAACUGCCUUUGAAACUGGCAACCUGGAGUGUGUGAGAGGAUAGUGGAAUUCCAGGUGUAGGAGUGAAAUCCGUAGAUAUCUGGAGGAACAUCAGUGGCGAAGGCGUCUUACUGGACCGAAACUGACGUUGAGGCUCGAAAGCGUGGGGAGCAAACAGGAUUAGAUACCCCCGUAAA
rnacentral:rRNA from 1 species